GCGAAUUUUUGAAAAAAAAACUUUAAGAACAAUUAUUAUUGAAAAACGAAUAUUUAAAGCUUUUGAAUAUUCGAAGACUAAAAAAAUAAAAUAAAAUAUUCGAAAAAAAAAAAUAUAAAAUUAAAGAAAAUAAAUAAGAUUUUUCACAAUUUACCUUGCAAACUUGAGAAAAUUUGUGAAAAUGAUGAUGGAUGAUGACAGAACAUCCAAUAGGUUCGAAGUUUUGAACGAAGAUUGCCUGCGAAACAUUUUAAUGUUCUUCCAUCCACACGAACUCUUGCCGCUUCUAAAAGUUCCUUAUCUGGGCGCUGUGACAAACGAGUUGCGACAAAAAUAUCACAACUUUAAUUUUGUCCAUAAAAUUGACGACGUCAAAUGGGAUCUGGAAAGUUUUAGAGAUGCACUAACGUUCAUGGGACCAAAUUUAAAAUCUGUUACAUUGGAUUCGGCAAGACUGUUUUGCAUGUCACACGCUGUAGCAUUUCAUCUUUUGCACGAAUUGUGCCCAAAAUUGGAAUCGUUGGAAUUGAUGAAUUUUUCAAUUGAAUUUUUGCAAACCAGAUUUGAAUUUUCCCGCAUGACAAAGAACUUGAAAAGCAUUUCAUUGAUUUAUGGCAAAUAUUGUGACGAUAUAGGCAGGUGUUUGGGCAAUUCAAGCCAACUUGAAAGUUUUUCGAUCAAAAAUUGCGAAAUAGACGACAAAUUUUUCAACUAUUUUAAGAAUUUGAAGUCGAUAAGUUUAGUUCGACUUGAUAAUCUUCGAAUGGAAGAUUUUAAAAAGAUAUUGGAGCAAAACUUGACACUAAAAAAAAUUGAAUGCCUUCAAAAAGGUUGCAUUAAAAACGACACCAUAAAUUUUAUCGUAGAAAACUUUUCAAAUGUUGAAGAUUUAAGUUUUCUGUUAAGUUUUCAGCUUUAUUCUGAAAUAAUUGUCGAUCGUCUUGGCGAAUUACCAAACUUAAAGAGAUUAUAUCUUGAUUUCAUAAUGGUUCAACAUUUAACUGAUUCAACAAAUAUUUUGUCUUUGUCAAAGAAAUUAAGAGAAAAAAACAAAAUUGAAGAAUUGUAUUUGAUGAACUUUAAUUUGUCUGAAGAAAUAGAUUCGUUAUCAAAGUUAACAAGUUUGAAGAUUUUAGAGAUAAAUUACAUUUCGUCAAACAUUGAUCUCAAAAAAUUACAAAAUUUACAACAGUUAGAAUGUGCUGCUUUUACUAAUGCAAAUUUUUCAUCAAGUGCACUUUUGGAAUUUAUCACGAAAAUGCAAAAUUUAAAGAAAAUCGAUAUUCCAUUAUUUCACAUUCACGAAAAUUUUGAAUUUCUCGAAAGACUCAUAGUGCGCCUUGAAGCAUUUAAACGUCCAAAGCUUGAAAUUGGAACUUAUUUUUAUGAAGAAUUGGUUACCAAGCCAGAGUUCCGGAAAUUGUUAGAAGAAAAUCGUCAUAUUUUGUCUUUUCAUAAAUAAUAAAUAAUAUUGAAGUUGAUAAUUGAGUUAUUUUUGUAGCAAAUUUAAAAUU